GGCCAGCAGUGCUUCCCUGAGCUGCAUCCCACUGCUCUCUGCCUAGUUACUCUCUCAUCACUUGCGACGCGAUCUCUGACGCUCAAAACUGUGAGCAGGAGAGGCCUAUUCUGGCUUGCAGUCUGCAGAGGCUUCAGCGGGGCCCUGGGGUCUGCUCAGCCAUGGCAGACAGGAAGCAGAGGAGAUGAGGGUGGGAACCGCUCCCCUCCAACCCGGCCUCACCUCUCAGCCGAACUCCAGUGGACUGACCGACUGAGCGCCAACUCCCCCAUGAUGCAGUCCCGCCCAGACGCCCCACCUCAGAGUGCAUGAGGCUUUGGGGUCGUCUACAUGUAAACCAUAGCACCCUCUUAGCUUUUUUAAAACAAGGGUCGCCAACAUUUUUCAGCCUUACAAGACAACGAUGAUCGUGGGGACUCCCUCCAUACCGCACUGGAAAUAGAAGGAUUAACUUCCAGGCAGCAAAGCCUGCCUUCCUUCCGGGUGGUGGCUGGACUUCAGUGGGAAGAACUGACUUCCGGUGGAUGUAGCCUUCCGGAGGCUGCCCUUGCUUGUCACGUGACCCGUCACGUGACCCGCACUCCCUGGGCGGUGGGGCUGCCCGUUCCUCCUAGCGCUCUGCCACCGUCUCUGGGACAGGAGUGAACAUCACCACCACUCAGCAGACCAGGACACCGAGGCCUGGAGCAGGGGAGGCAGGCUGCCCGGGCUUCAUCAGAGUCAGAGCCCGCAGAGAACCGGGCUGCUGGCCACACAGCACCCUCCUCCCUCGGGCCAAGACCACAGAGUCCCCUGCCACUGUCAUUCCCACCUGGCUCUCGGUAACCUCUGCCCCUCACGAGAGCCUCAGCUUCUCAAAGUGCCUCGCCAGCCAAACGUUUGGGGGGAAGCGUCUGGCGGGCUAUGAAUUAGAGACUGAGAUCCUUAGCUAUCAGAACACCACCUUCUUUGGCGGAGACCACGUAACCAUGGUCGAUUACCUCUUCUGGCCCUGGUU